rnacentral:rRNA from 1 species
CCUACGGGCGGCAGCAGUGGGGGAUAUUGCACAAUGGGGGAAACCCUGAUGCAGCGACGCCGCGUGUGGGAAGACGGUCCUCUGUAUUGUAAACCACUGUCCCCAGGGACGAAGAUGACGGUACCUGGGGAGGAAGCUCCGGCUAACUACGUGCCAGCAGCCGCGGUAAUACGUAGGGAGCGAGCGUUGUCCGUAAUUACGGGGAGUAAAGGGAGCGUAGGCGGGGAUGCAAGUUGGGGGUCAAAACUACCGGCUCAACUGGUAGUCGCAGGUAAAACUGCAGCUCUUGAGUGAAGUAGAGGCAGGCGGAAUUCCUAGUGUAGCGGUGAAAUGCGUAGAUAUUAGGAGGAACACCAGUGGCGAAGGCGGCCUGCUGGGCUUUUACUGACGCUGAGGCUCGAAAGUGUGGGGAGCAAACAGGAUUAGAUACCCCAGUAGUC